GAAUUUUGGGCAAUGGGCGAAAGCCUGACCCAGCAACGCCGCGUGGGUGAUGAAGGCCCUCGGGUCGUAAAGCCCUUUUCCCAGGGAAGAUAGUGACGGUACCUGGGGAAUCAGCCCCGGCUAACUACGUGCCAGCAGCCGCGGUAAUACGUAGGGGGCAAGCGUUGUCCGGAUUUAUUGGGCGUAACGCGCUCGCAGGUGGUUCGUCGCGUCGUGCGUGAAAGACCCCGGCUCAACUGGGGAGGGUCGUGCGAUACGGGCGGACUGGAGGCCAGUAGGGGGAUGCGGAAUUCCGGGUGUAGUGGUGGAAUGCGUAGAGAUCCGGAGGAACACCAGCGGCGAAGGCGGCAUCCUGGACUGGUCCUGACACUCAGGAGCGAAAGCGUGGGGAGCGAUCCG
rnacentral:rRNA from 1 species